ACCUCGGAACUGCAUUUGAAACUGGUGAACUAAAGUGCUGUAGAGGGGGGUAGAAUUUCAGGUGUAGCGGUGAAAUCCGUAGAGAUCUGAAGGAAUACCAGUGGCGAAGGCGGCCCCCUGGACAGACACUGACACUCAGAUGCGAAAACGUGGGGAGCACACAGGAUUAGAUACCCUGGUAGUCCACGCCGUAAACGAUGUCUACUUGGAGGUUGUGGCCUUGAACCGUGGCUUUCGGAGCUAACGCGUUAAGUAGACCGCCUGGGGAGUACGGUCGCAAGAUUAAAACUCAAAUGAAUUGACGGGGGCCCGCACAAGCGGUGGAGCAUGUGGUUUAAUUCGAUGCAACGCGAAGAACCUUACCUACUCUUGACAUCCAGAGAAGCCAGUGGAGACACAGGUGUGCCUUCGGGAACUCUGAGACAGGUGCUGCAUGGCUGUCGUCAGCUCGUGUUGUGAAAUGUUGGGUUAAGUCCCGCAACGAGCGCAACCCUUAUCCUUGUUUGCCAGCGAGUAAUGUCGGGAACUCCAGGGAGACUGCCGGUGAUAAACCGGAGGAAGGUGGGGACGACGUCAAGUCGUCAUGGCCCUUACGAGUAGGGCUACACACGUGCUACAAUGGCGCAUACAGAGGGCAGCAAGCUAGCGAUAGUGAGCGAAUCCCAAAAAGUGCGUCGUAGUCCGGAUUGGAGUCUGCAACUCGACUCCAUGAAGUCGGAAUCGCUAGUAAUCGUGAAUCAGAAUGUC
rnacentral:rRNA from 1 species